GACGAACGCUGGCGGCGUGCCUAAUACAUGCAAGUUGAGCGCUGAAGGUUGGUACUUGUACCAACUGGAUGAGCAGAGAACGGGUGAGUAACGCGUGGGGAAUCUGCCUUUGAGCGGGGGACAACAUUUGGAAACGAAUGCUAAUAGCGCAUAAAAACUUUAAACACAAGUUUUAAGUUUGAAAGAUGCAAUUGCAUCACUCAAAGAUGAUCCCGCGUUGUAUUAGCUAGUUGGUGAGGUAAAGGCUCACCAAGGCGAUGAUACAUAGCAGACCUGAGAGGUUGAUCAGCCACAUUGGGACUGAGACACGGCCCAAACGCCUACGGGAGGCAGCAGGAGGGAAACUUCGGCAAUGGACGAAAGUCGGACCGAGCAACGCCGCGUGAGUGAAGAAGGUUGUCGGAUCGUAAAACUCGGUUGGUAGAGAAGAACGUUGGUGAGAGUGGAAAGCUCAUCAAGUGACGGUAACUACCCAGAAAGGGACGGCUAACUACGUG
rnacentral:rRNA from 1 species